UCUUUCCAUGCUACGUGAUUGCGACGGAAUGGACGGCCAGCAGCAGCGUGUCGCCGAUUUUGUCUUUGCCGACAUCGAACAAGUGAAGCUCGCCAGACCGUGGCAAGCACCCGAAGUGUUGCGGUCUGCACUGCGUUGUCUUUCGCACAGAGACGGCCAGAUGCAUAUGAAAGCCUACCAGCAUGGAGUGACUGUGCUAUUUUUCUCCUAACGCCUCAGGUAUUGAAGAAGCGGCAACAGCCACAGGAAGUAGCCAUCUUAUCCAGCACGUUAUGGGUACAAGUUGGCGGCUCCUGCUUCUGCGACCACCCUGUCUCGACUGCGCCCACUAGAGUUGGCAGCCUUAGUGAUGAUGCCCAGCAGGCCAACGGCAGACAGCAAGAUGCAGGUAAAUACAUGUAAUCCAGCACCAUCUUUUUGACUGAAGCAGCUUGUAGCCACUCAGCAAUGAAUUACUUGGAAGUAGUAUAGGUGCCCCACUAUUGGUGCAGCAAUGCUCAAGUCCAUGUAAUUUGUUUUAGCCACCAAAAGGCUAUGUGGAUUAGACAAACCACAAUGCACAUUGUCAUACUAGUGGAGACCACUUAUACAAUUUUUUUCUUCCUUAACACAAAAACUAUGUUGAUAAAGCUUUACCAAUUUGAAAGCAAUACAAUGUGCUCUCAGAUCUGGUAUUUGGCAUAUUUUUCCUAGGACCGCCUCAUUGUUAAACCUGCAGGUAAACAUACGCCGAAACUGAGUUUUCUGCAAGUUCAUCCUCAUCU